GUCACUGACACGGAAGCUGCCUCCUGUAGGGAGAGAUGGCACUGGCUGCAGCUAGGGGGAGCUCCAGAGCACAGCUCCUCUUCUAGCCAGCCGAGGGAAGCUCUCUGCUCCGUCAGCCUGAUGAUGAAAGCCAAAGACAGAUGAAUCCCACCCUGCCCGUUUUUGUGCGCCCUACCAACCCGCCGUUUUCUGCCUGCCGUACCCCGCCACGCCGCCAGACCCAGCCGUGCGCCGCCGGACCCGAGGAUGCUGGGGACUCCGUAAGGACCAUGGGGAUUGACGGGCUCCGCAGGAGACAUGGGCACUAAGAAAGAACUUUAGGUGGAAGCAGAAAGGGAAAUUCUUAUUAAAUCUACUCACCAUCGAAUGAUUUUUCCAGUCUGUCGAGUGUGUGCGUAGCCCAUUUUUGAACUCUCAUCAACAAUUCUGGUGGGAGCCAAUGUGUUUUAUUACUGCGAAGCCCAAAAAAUUGAUGGUGUGCCUUGGAAAUGUAAAAAUUUUGUUUAGUGUGCCACAAAUUUAAAAAGGAUGAAAAUCACUGGCUUAGAUAAUGAACUCAGCAAAACAGGAUAUACUUGGAAUGCCGCACUGAUAGCAGAGCCAACAGGUUGAGUUUUUUUUUACAGUGGUUGGAAGAGGAGAUAAAAGGACUUCAAUGAAGGUGUUCCUGAGAUAAUAAUGAUGAUGACCAGAGAGUGGCUUCUGGUACAAGAGAAGUCAGGAAGACAAGAGAGCUACAAGAUCUGGCACAAUCUUUACCUCUAUGUUUAUCAUGGAAAUUUUAACUUGAGUUGGAUUCACACACUUACCAAUAUUUUCAAGACUUUAUUGUACUAAACUUUACUUAUAUGAACUUCCUUAUAAGUAACUGAUAUAUUUAAUUUAAUAUGUAAUCAUAGUACAAAUGUUGUUGUAUUCUGCAUAAGGAAAUAGUAGAUGUGCGGGAUCUGGUCAACACAGUGAUGCCGGAAUCCUGGCACUGAUCAGAAUUCUGGGGCCGGCAUCUUGACAGCUGGGAUCCUGAUCAGCUGACUCCCUGAACAUCUGAGAGGUGACCAGCUAUCUCACCCGGUAGUCUGCCAAGACCUGUGGAAGCAGCGCAACAGGUUCCAAAAGCAAUUUACAGUAGUUAUAGUCUCUGAACAUAAAGAAUGCCUCUGUUAAUUACUUCUAUAGUUGUAAGGUAGCUUAGGCGAUCAGUAGCUUUUUCUAAACUAUGAUUCCAGAACGUAUAUAUAAACUAAUAAAAAAAUCUGAAGCUAAUAAAAAUAUUAUUUACAAAAAAUGAACAAUGCUUAGUUUCUACAAAUGAGAGUUAUAAAAGGUUACAAUAAAAAUAGACAAUAGACGUGCUAUACUUUUACCAGGUGGAACCUGAUCAGGUGGAUAAUAAUGAUAAGUAAUUUCUGGGUAAUAUGUUACGUAACUUUGUGCAUUGCAAAUUUCCUCCUAAGCAACAUGAGCAUGUCUUGUAAUUGCAUAAUGUUGUAUAUGAAGAAUCAGUUGUAAAAAUGUUAUAGUCACAUGAUGG